GACGAACCGUGCGAACGUUGUUCGGAAUCACUGGGCUUAAAGGGCGCGUAGGCGGGCUUGCUAGUCCGUGGUGAAAGCCCCCGGCUUAACCGGGGAAGUGCCGUGGAUACUGCAAGCCUGGAGGAGGGUAGGGGCAUCUGGAACGCUGGGUGGAGCGGUGAAAUGCGUUGAUAUCCAGCGGAACUCCGGUGGCGAAGGCGAGGUGCUGGACCCUUUCUGACGCUGAGGCGCGAAAGCCAGGGGAGC
rnacentral:rRNA from 1 species